rnacentral:rRNA from 1 species
AGAGUUUGAUUAUGGCUCAGGAUGAACGCUAGCUACAGGCUUAACACAUGCAAGUCGAGGGGCAGCGGGAUUGAAGCUUGCUUCAAUUGCCGGCGACCGGCGCACGGGUGAGUAACGCGUAUCCAACCUUCCGUACACUCAGGGAUAGCCUUUCGAAAGAAAGAUUAAUACCUGAUGGUAUCUUAAGCACACAUGUAAUUAAGAUUAAAGAUUUAUCGGUGUACGAUGGGGAUGCGUUCCAUUAGGUAGUAGGCGGGGUAACGGCCCACCUAGCCGACGAUGGAUAGGGGUUCUGAGAGGAAGGUCCCCCACAUUGGAACUGAGACACGGUCCAA